rnacentral:rRNA from 1 species
GACGAACGCUGGCGGCGUGGAUUAGGCAUGCAAGUCGAACGGUAUCAUCCUUUCGGGGGUGAGAGAGUGGCGAACUGGUGAGUAACACGUAGGUUAUCUACCCUCAAGACGGGGACAACCCAGGGAAACUUGGGCUAAUACCGGAUGUGAGCAACUUUUAGUUGUUUGAAAGGUGGCGUAAGCUGUCGCUUGGGGAUGAGCCUGCGUCCUAUUAGUUAGUUGGUGAGGUAACGGCUCACCUAGGCAAUGAUAGGUAGGCGGCCUUAACGGGUGGUCGCCCACACUGGGAUUGAGAUACGGCCCAGACUCCUACGGGAGGCAGCAGUCGAGAAUAGUCUACAAUGGUCGGAAGACUGAUAGUGCGACGCCGCGUGAACGAUGAAUCCCUUCGGGGUGUAAAGUUCUUUUAUAUGUGAGCAGUGCUUCUUAUAUUAACAGUAUGGGGAGAGAGAUAUUAGCAAUAUGAAUAAGCAACGGCUAACUCCGUGCCAGCAGCCGCGGUAAACUGUACG